UACGGGGGGGGCAAGCGUUGUUCGGAAUUACUGGGCGUAAAGGGCUCGUAGGUGGCCAACUAAGUCAGACGUGAAAUCCCUGGGCUUAACCCAGGAACUGCGUCCGAUACUGGCAGGCUGGAAUCCGGGAGAGGGAUGCGGAAUUCCAGGUGUAGCGGUGAAAUGCGUAGAUAUCUGGAGGAACACCGGUGGCGAAGGCGGCAUCCUGGACCGGCAUUGACGCUGAGGCGCGAAAGCCAGGGGAGCAAACGGG
rnacentral:rRNA from 1 species